rnacentral:rRNA from 1 species
AGUGAAGCGGCAACAGCUCAAAUUUGAAAUCUGGCCCCCUCGGGGUCCGAGUUGUAAUUUGCAGAGGGUGCUUUGGCGUUGGCAGCGGUCUAAGUUCCUUGGAACAGGACAUCGCAGAGGGUGAGAAUCCCGUAUGUGGUCGCAUGCCUCCGCCGUGUAAAGCCCCUUCGACGAGUCGAGUUGUUUGGGAAUGCAGCUCUAAAUGGGAGGUAAAUUUCUUCUAAAGCUAAAUACCGGCCAGAGACCGAUAGCGCACAAGUAGAGUGAUCGAAAGAUGAAAAGCACUUUGGAAAGAGAGUCAAACAGCACGUGAAAUUGUUAAAAGGGAAGCGCUUGCAGCCAGACUUGCCUGUAGUUGCUCACCCGGGCUCCUGCCCGGGGCACUCUUCUGCAGGCAGGCCAGCAUCAGUUUGGGCGGUCGGACAAAGGCCUCUGACACGUACUUCCUUUCGGGGAUGACAUAUAGGGGAGGCGCAAUGCGACCAGCCCGGACUGAGGUCCGCGCAUCUGCUAGGAUGCUGGCGUAAUGGCUGUAAGCGGCCCGUCUUGAAACACGGACCAAGGAGUCUAACAUCUAUGCGAGUGUUUGGGUGUCAAGCCCGAGCGCGUAAUGAAAGUGAACGGAGGUGGGAACCCCUCGGGGCGCACCAUCGACCGAUCCUGAUGUCUUCGGAUGGAUUUGAGUAAGAGCAUAGCUGUUGGGACCCGAAAGAUGGUGAACUAUGCUUGAAUAGGGUGAAGCCAGAGGAAACUCUGGUGGAGGCUCGCAGCGGUUCUGACGUGCAAAUCGAUCGUCAAAUUUGGGCAUAGGGGCGAAAG